rnacentral:rRNA from 1 species
AAAACCAAUGCCCUUCGGGGCUCACUGGUGAUUCAUAAUAACUUCUCGAAUCGCACGGCCUUGCGCCGGCGAUGGUUCAUUCAAAUUUCUGCCCUAUCAACUUUCGAUGGCUGGGUCUUGGCCAGCCAUGGUAGCAACGGGUAACGGAGGGUUAGGGCUCGACCCCGGAGAAGGAGCCUGAGAAACGGCUACUACAUCCAAGGAAGGCAGCAGGCGCGCAAAUUACCCAAUCCCGACUCGGGGAGGUAGUGACGAUAAAUACCGAUACAGGGCUCUUUUGGGUCCUGUAAUUGGAAUGAGUACAAUUCAAAUCCCUUAACGAGGAACAAUUGGAGGGCAAGUCUGGUGCCAGCAGCCGCGGUAAUUCCAGCUCCAAUAGCGUAUAUUAAGUUGUUGCAGUUAAAAAGCUCGUAGUUGAACUUCGAACCUGGCUGGGUGGUCUGCCUUACGGUACGUACUGCCCGCCGGGUUCUACCUCUUGGUGAGCCGCAUGCCCUUCACUGGGUGUGUCGGGGAACCAGGACUUUUAC